ensembl:lncRNA BAZ2B-AS1 BAZ2B antisense RNA 1
GAGGGGUAGCGACAAGAAGAUUAAAAGAGGGAAGCAGAGGAGUUGGGAGCUGGCGGUCGUUCCCGGGGAAGAACUGCUAAAACAUGAGACCAAGGCACAGACCUUACUGUAUGAGAAGCAAUGCUCCUCAAACCUUCUGCGUGCUGACAUAGACCUUCCCAGAAGCAAAACUGUUGGCGGCGACCUGAGCGCUGGAAGCCGAAGGGGAAGAGGAAGGAGACGCGAAGCCAGGGCGGCCGGCACAAAGGCGGCGGACUCGCGGCGGCAGCGCCUGCCCGGCCGGGAGCACAACCCACGGCCCUACUCCAGCGAAGUCCCGCACCGGCUUCUAGGAAUAAAGUUUACGUUCUCCUGAGGCCGCACCCCCCACCUCCCACCCAGGACGGCACAUCUCCGUGUCCUCCUCCCCCAAACUCCACUCGGGACCCCGAGAACCACCCCAGCCUUCCGGCCACCACAACAAAGAGCCGCACCGACCGGCGAGGAUAAACAGCGGCGGAGGGCGAGAGGGCGGCGGGGCGAGCGCCUCCACGCAGCAACUCCGGAGUCCCCCGCUUGCCCGAGCGCAGUUUCUCCGCUGCUGUUUCCACCGGCUUUGUAACACUGGGAAUUUACAUCCUCACCCGCACCCCUCACGCCCGAGGAUUUUAAACUCACCUUUACUCUCGAACUGAGAGUUGCGGUAGAUGGGAUUUUUGCCUUUUCCCCAGAUGGUUGAAGGUUAAGAUUUUUGGAAACCCCACCACCUCCUUAUUUCUAUUAUUAUUUCUGCAAGAAAAGUAUAAAGAGAGUUGUAGUGGAGGUGAGAUUUGUGAUCGGGAAAGCCUUCGACUCCCUCCUUCUCCGUCUUCCGCCUCUCUCUCUCUGAUUAGUUCCUAUCCAGCAGCAGAUUGAAGCAGGAGAUGAUUCUUCUCAAGGUUUGUUCAGCAGCUUCACUUCUAGGCGAAGGCUUCAUGAACCAAGUGACGUCAACCAACAAGGCUUCUCUCUCUCUCCUCUCUCUAACAAUGAAAGUUGCUGUUAACAAGGGAAAAAAAGAGAGAGAAUUGUUUAUACCAUUUCAGUUCCAAUAAUAAAUGACCUAUCAGCUCCUAAAGGAGCCAAGGGAGGGGGUUGCUUCUUCUUUCCAAGAAUACUGUAGCUUUGAGUUUGCACCGUUCCUUGUCCCAGGAAAAAGUUAAGAAACUUAAAAUGUUUUGUUUUGCUUUUAAAGAAGACAGGACAGAAAACGGGAUUUAAAACUUAGUUUUUAAAAAAACAAAAGCUACAGAGUAGGGAGCAUAGGUCAACCAUCUCCACCUAAAUUUUUUUUGUUCCUAAACUCAGAAUUCUACAACCCAACUAAAUUAAUAUGCCAAGAUUUUGCGGAUGUUAAAACUCAAAAAAAGCAGUAUGCAAGACGGUCCCGGGGUAAAAUUCUACUGCCUUUCCACGGACAAGUUAAACUGGCUGUAAUGUUUAUGCACUAAGUUAAAAUAAAAUUUAAAUAAAAGACGUUAAAAUAGUCGUUUUAAAGUUAUAUGCACACACUGUAAAAGGUAAUCUCGAUAGCUUUUUUUCAAGUUUCUGAGAGAUUAGAAAAAAAGCAUAGCAAAUUGUAGGCACUGAACACUUUUUAAAAAUCAAGUUAUGAGUAAGACUGGUAGCCCUUUGCUCCUUUAAACUACAAAUGCAGUCAUAUGCUAUGGUCUACCCCCAGAAUCUCUUCCAACUUUGUUUUUACCCUUCCACUCCCCCAACCCCAAUUCCCAAAUCCUGCAACCAAUCAAGUUAAACUAAAGAUACAAUAGGCCCCAUUCCCUCCCGCACCCCAUCCUAUAGAUUCCUAAAAACAAUUUUUUUAAAAGCCUUAAUCUUGAUAACACUUUAUUAGCCAAGAAGAUACGUAUUUUUUUUUUUAGAAGUUCGUUGAGGUACCGUUUUUUCCCUCCAGAACACAAGAAAGUCUCAAAGUUCAUAUAAUUAAAAAUUGCAUAAUUUAAUUUUCAGGAUGAAGAGUAAGUAAAAAUUAAGCUAUCGGAGAAUAAUUUGAUCAUCUAUGUAUAUUUUAUACAUAUGUGGAUAAAUGUAUCUUAAAAGAUGCUAUUGUUUUAUGUUUCCUCUUCAGCCACUGGCUGUGAUUUUAAUUGUGCUGGAGGAUCUUCAUUAGUAUUAACACAUGGGGAGAUUUCACAAAGCUGCUUCAUUAGGAAAAAAAAAAAGCUUGGCAGACUCGGUCUUUUUGCAUGCACUGAGAAUGUCAGCCUUACCUCGGUCAUUUGUAACAUAAUAAGUGCAAGUACAAUGAUUGCAAUGCAGGAGCACUGGGGGAAGGGCAGAAAUACUGCCUGUCUAAUAGGGAUAUCUGAAAAGAAGGCUGCUCAUUACAGAGUAAAAUGUAUGCUAAAAAUUAGUGAAGAUGAUGUCUCAGGAGACUGAUGCUAAAUAAAUUAAUGUGCUGAUAUGUUUUUAAUUAUUAUUUUUGUAGUAGUUUAUUUCAUUCUCAGGAUUCACAUUGAGCAGCAAAGCUGUGCUAGCACUUAUUGAUUUUUUUUCCCUGCCACAUUCCCGGAAUACAGAUUUUAAUCAUUUCACUACACCACACUCAGUAAUUUCAUUAAAAACUGGAAUCUUCCAUCCCCAGAAAAGCAUUUAAUUUCAAUGACAUACAAUUUCUCUUUUAGCAGCAAACUGUCUCUACAGUAAAAACUGGCCUAAGGUUCAAAUGCAUAAUUUAAUCCUGAGUUUUCCAUGCUCUGCAUUCCUUUCAAGCUAUAAUUUGAGUAACUACCUAAUAACUGUAAUAAGGACAAUAAUUUCCUUAUAAUAUAUUAUUAACUCAUAUUUAAUUAACUCGGAGGCCAAGCUCUGUACAUGUAUGACUGGGUCAACAGUUCUAUAAUCUCAAAAUUUACUAAUAAUGUUCCAGAAGAAAAAUAUAGAUUAAAAUAUAAGUAUGAAUGCACUUAGUAUCUAAGACUUCUAUCCCAAGUCACAUACAAAAAAGUUAAUGCAUUGUUCUAUAAUGGUGGUCAUUAAAUAAAUAAUAUUUUUAAGUAUGUGGAACUAAAAAA